GGCGAGCCUGAUGCAGCGACGCCGCGUGAGGGAUGACGGCCUUCGGGUUGUAAACCUCUUUCAGUAGGGAAGAAGCCCCUUUUGGGGUGACGGUACUUGCAGAAGAAGCGCCGGCUAACUACGUGCCAGCAGCCGCGGUAAUACGUAGGGCGCAAGCGUUAUCCGGAAUUAUUGGGCGUAAAGAGCUCGUAGGCGGUUUGUCGCGUCUGCCGUGAAAGUCCGAGGCUCAACCUCGGAUCUGCGGUGGGUACGGGCAGACUAGAGUGAUGUAGGGGAGACUGGAAUUCCUGGUGUAGCGGUGAAAUGCGCAGAUAUCACGAGGAACACCGAUGGCGAAGGCAGGUCUCUGGGCAUUUACUGACGCUGAGGAGCGAAAGCAUGGGGAGCGAACAGGAUUANAUACCCUGGUAGUCCAUGCCGUAAACGUUGGGCACUAGGUGUGGCGGACAUUCCACGUUUUCGGC
rnacentral:rRNA from 1 species